rnacentral:lncRNA from 10 species
AAAGGCUGUAUCUGGCAUUUUCCUAGGUCCUUAGUUUCCACCUUCUAGACAUCCAGCAGGAGUGACCAUGCCCAGCCCCACACCUGAAAUGGGACUCCCUUGUAGAGCAGCUGAGACAUCUACAGACAGAAGAGUGCUCUGGUGAGACAGGCCACAGGGGUCCCCAGGGAGGGUUGGGGGCCAGAAGAUUCUGAAGGCUUCCAGUCUUGGGCUCUGUGGUUCCUCAAAGAGGUUAGGUUUAACUAAAACCAGGCCUCCCCUCCCACGAUUCAAAGAGUGGGUGAGUGCUCUGCGUCAGGAACUCUGAUCUGGACCUAUUUUUUCAUUUAGGUCACCAAGAGACAACCCCUAACCCCCAAGCUAGGGAUGGUGCAAGCUCUGGCAUGAGAUUUUCUUCUAGCAACGUGAUGCUUACAGGGACAGGUAGAAAAGCUGGUGAUCAGGCCUGCUGUCCUCCGGGUAAAGACAGUGGGCCACCCACGCUCUGAGAGGCCGGUGGUGCCAGGCCACAACACUGGGUGCCUGUACCCCUGGCUCUGCAGACACCGGUCAUGGAGGCCCUCCCCUCUCCAUAUUACCCUCUUGCUGCUCCUAUAUUUCUUCUAGUUAUUAAACAAUUUGGGCCAUUUUUCUGUGCAUCCGAUCUGACAUUUUUGCUCUCAGAUGAAACAUGAUAAAGGAAGCCAAGCCGCCAGUAUUCCUGGAGGGGACCUUGGGUGCUGGGUCUUGGGCUCCAGGGCCCUAAUGGGACUGAACCAGAAGGAGCCAGGGAAGGGCAAACACUGGGGCUGAGGCCCUAGGACCCAAUGGCCAUUGGUGGCCGGGACUUAUGGCCCCAACACACCCUGUCCUCAGGCCACAGACACCAUGGGCUUCGGUCAGGUCCCAGCCUCCCAGUAGUGUCCUGGUACUAGCAGGUGCUGACCCCUGAGCCACAAGCACAAUUCUGGGUUUUGGGUUUUGGUAAAACCACCUCAGGGACAGAGUUCUGGGGUUGGGUUUGGCAGGAACCAUGGUGCCUCCCAGGGAUGGUGUGUCACUCCUACUUGCCACAAAAUGUGCACACAGGCUGUCCCACUGUCCAGCCCAUCCUGCUGGACAGGAUGGAGGAAGUCAGGGAACAGGUAGGGUGGACAUCUGGGGUGCAGGGAGGGGCAGCCCAUAGACUGUGACCAUCUAUCUGGCCACUGUGGCCCUUCCUUUCCCUUUGUCCUGUUGGAAUCUCUGAGCAAGAUCUCCCAGGUCCAUCGAAACACCUGCUUUGUCCAGUUUUGACUGGGUCUUUGGGCACUACUGGGCCAUCCCAACUGUCCACAGGGCCCUCAAUAACGUGCAUUGCACCUGACAUCUCCCAGCAGUGCUCAGCAGCCCCUGCUGACCAGGUCCAGGUCCCUGCUGGCCAUAUCCCACACAUCAGGUCCUCCCUGACCACACUCUCACUGAUUAGAACCCCAUGACCAGGCCUCCAGGGAACAGGCUGCCACUGACCAGGCCCCUAUUAACCAGGCCAUAGGUGACAAGAUGCCCCUGACUGUGACCCUAGUGAGUAGGCCCCACUGAAUAGGCACCCACUGCUCAGAUCCCUGCUGACCAGGUCACCCCACAGACCACUGCUACAAGAGCCACCACUGAAUGCGCUCUCUCUGAACAGGCCGCCACUGAUUAGGUUCCACUGACCAGGCUGCGCUGACCAGGGCCCCACUGACAAGGGCCUCACUGAUGAGGACAUGGCCAGCAGGCCCUGCUGACUGGGUCCCAUGUGACCAGGCCUCCAAUGAAUAGCACCCCUUGAGCUGGUCACCAGUGACCCGGCCCAUGCUGACAAGGUCCACUGAUGAGGCCCACACUGAUCAGGGCCCUCAUAACCAUACCAGAAGGACAAGCGACAAUGAGAUAUUUCAUAUGGCAGGAGUAGGAGCAAGACAGAGAGAGAAAGGAGGUGCCACAUCCUGUUAUACAACCAGAUCUCAUGAGAACUCACUAUCAGGAGAUCAGCAUCAAGAAGAUUAACCACUGGUGAAGGAAACACCACCCACACCACCACCCACUGUUUGCAGGCAGAAGCCUCCUGCAGAGGCAGAGCCUCUUGGGAAACUUCUACCAUGGCAGUGCAGAAGGGAAACAUGGGCUUGGAGCCCCGACACAGGAGGUCACCAUCCUCCAGACCCCAGAUUCAUAAGCCCACCAACAGUUCACAUCCUCAGUAUGGAAAAGCUACAGGCACUCCACACCAGCCUAGCCCAUGAGAGCAGACAUGGGGGCUGAAGCCUGCAAAGCUGCAGGUGCACUGCCCUAGCAGAGGUUUCCCA